rnacentral:rRNA from 1 species
GACGAACGCUGGCGGCGUGCUUAACACAUGCAAGUCGAACGGAAAGGCCCUUCUUUUGUGGGGUGCUCGAGUGUCGAACGGGUGAGUAACACGUUAGUAACCUGCCCUUGACUUUUGGAUAACUUCAGUAAACUGGGGCUAAUACCGGAUAGGAGCUCCUGCUGCAUGGUGGGGGUUGGAAAGUUUCGGCGGUUGGGGAUGGACUCGCGGCUUAUCAGCUUGUUGGUGGGGUAGUGUCUUACCAAGGCUUUGACGGGUAGCCGGCCUGAGAGGGUGACCGGCAACAUUGGGACGGAGAAACGGCCGAGACGCCUACGGGAGGAAGCAGUGGUGAAUAUUGCACAAUGGGCGGAAGAAGGAUGAAGCAACGACGCGUGCGGGAUGACGGACUUCGGGGUGUAAACCGCUUUCGCCUGUGAAGAAGAGUGAGUGACGGUAAUGGGUAAAGAAGCACCGGCUAACUACGUG